rnacentral:rRNA from 1 species
AGCUCCGUCAGUGUAUAUCUAUGCUGCUGCGGUUAAAAAGCUCGUAGUUGGAUCUGCGUGUGCGGUAUGGUGGUUCACCCUUGUGGUGCAUACUGUCAACCCACACUGAAUAGUCAGUUCUCUCCUGAUGCUCUUAACCGGGUGUCUUGAGUGGCUGACGAGCUUACUUUGAAAAAAUUAGAGUGCUCAAAACAAGCGCUUAGCUUGAAUACUGGUGCAUGGAAUAAUAGAAUAGGACCUUGGUUCUAUUUUGUUGGUUUUCGGAACACGAGGUAAUGAUUAAGAGGGACAGACGGGGGCAUUCGUAUUGCGACGCUAGAGGUGAAAUUCUUGGAUCGUCGCAAGACGGACUACUGCGAAGGCAUUUGCCAAGAAUGUUUUCAUUA